rnacentral:rRNA from 1 species
UACGUAGGGUGCGAGCGUUAAUCGGAAUUACUGGGCGUAAAGCGUGCGCAGGCGGCUUUGCAAGACAGAUGUGAAAUCCCCGGGCUUAACCUGGGAACUGCAUUGUGACUGCAUGGCUGGAGUGCGGCAGAGGGGGAUGGAAUUCCGCGUGUAGCAGUGAAAUGCGUAGAUAUGCGGAGGAACACCGAUGGCGAAGGCAAUCCCCUGGGCCUGCACUGACGCUCCAUGCACGAAAGCGUGGGGAGCAAACAGG